AGUGAACGCUGGCGGUAGGCCUAACACAUGCAAGUCGAACGGCAGCACAGUAAGAGCUUGCUCUUACGGGUGGCGAGUGGCGGACGGGUGAGGAAUACAUCGGAAUCUACUUUUUCGUGGGGGAUAACGUAGGGAAACUUACGCUAAUACCGCAUACGACCUACGGGUGAAAGCAUGGGAUCUUCGGACCUUGCGCGAUUGAAUGAGCCGAUGUCGGAUUAGCUAGUUGGCGGGGUAAAGGCCCACCAAGGCGACGAUCCGUAGCUGGUCUGAGAGGAUGAUCAGCCACACUGGAACUGAGACACGGUCCAGACUCCUACGGGAGGCAGCAGUGGGGAAUAUUGGACAAAGGGCGCAAGCCUGAUCCAGCGAUACCGCGUGGGUGAAGAAGGCCUUCGGGUUGUAAAGCCCUUUUGUUGGGAAAGAAAAGCAGCAGGUUAAUACCCCGCUGUUCUGACGGUACCCAAAGAAUAAGCACCGGCUAACUUCGUG
rnacentral:rRNA from 1 species